GAAGUGUGGACGCCAGUCUGCAUGGAGCCGGCCUUGAAAUACCACCCUUUAAUGUUUGAUGUUCUAACGUGGACCCGUAAUCCGGGUUGCGGACAGUGUCUGGUGGGUAGUUUGACUGGGGCGGUCUCCUCCUAAAGAGUAACGGAGGAGCACGAAGGUUGGCUAAUCCUGGUCGGACAUCAGGAGGUUAGUGCAAUGGCAUAAGCCAGCUUGACUGCGAGCGUGACGGCGCGAGCAGGUGCGAAAGCAGGUCAUAGUGAUCCGGUGGUUCUGAAUGGAAGGGCCAUCGCUCAACGGAUAAAAGGUACUCCGGGGAUAACAGGCUGAUACCGCCCAAGAGUUCAUAUCGACGGCGGUGUUUGGCACCUCGAUGUCGGCUCAUCACAUCCUGGGGCUGAAGUAGGUCCCAAGGGUAUGGCUGUUCGCCAUUUAAAGUGGUACGCGAGCUGGGUUUAGAACGUCGUGAGACAGUUCGGUCCCUAUCUGCCGUGGGCGCUGGAGAACUGAGGGGGGCUGCUCCUAGUACGAGAGGACCGGAGUGGACGCAUCACUGGUGUUCGGGUUGUCAUGCCAAUGGCACUGCCCGGUAGCUAAAUGCGGAAGAGAUAAGUGCUGAAAGCAUCUAAGCACGAAACUUGCC
rnacentral:rRNA from 1 species